UACCAUGCUGAAUAUACCGGUUCUCGUUAGAUCACCGAAGUUAAGCAUCAUUGGGCGCGGUCAGUUCUUGGGUGGGUGACCAC